rnacentral:RNase_P_RNA from 1 species
UAAGACAUCAGCGAGGAACGCUUGAGGCGAAAGCCGAGAGAGGAAAGUCCGGACAGCAAAAAGAUAUGGUGGCCAGUGAAAGCUGGUCCUCUAGGAAGUGAUUUCUAGGGCGCGAUAGGGCCACAGAGACGAAUAAGGUGAAACGCUUUUAUCUGUAAUGGUAAGAGAUUCAUCACUAGUAAUGGUGGUGGAGUGGUAACCCGCCCUGCUGCAACCUCCGAAUUUAAGCGUUUUAAGGUAUCUUUUCCAAGCUUAAAAAGUCGAGGGCAUAGAUAGAUGUUCUUCAUCCAAUUUAUUUUGGGUAACAGAAUCCGGCUUAUGAUGUCUUAAAAA